CCUGCACACAGUUAAAGCCCGGAGCGGAGGCCGUCACAGGCCGGUGACCUCGGGGUGUCGGAGUGUGCUACAGUAACCCGGCAGUUUUUUCGCUAACACCACAAGGGGCAGCACUGCUCCUAUGAGUGGAGUUUGAUAGUAAUUCUUGCCACAUGU